rnacentral:lncRNA from 1 species
CACCCAGCACAGGAGGAUUGCCGCGGGUGGGGUGAGAAGAGGGGACCACAGGCAAACCUGCCCCACCUGGCCCAGUGUGAUGGCUCCAGGACCGGGUGCGGCGGCAGCUCCGGCUCUGCCCACGUGUCUAGGUCUCUACUAGCCACUCCCCAGGUUCUCUCUCCUGCACCCAAGGGUGCUCAUCUUCCCCUGCUGCCAAGUGACUUUGCAGCCCCUUCUCUCCCUUCUUUUACUUCAUUGCUAGAACGUUGGGUUGUGCCAGUUCCCUGGUUCUAACCUUGGGUUCUCUUACCCACGUUCUGCUUCUCCUCCUCGCCACUCUCCUCAAUUGAACAUUUCCUCCAGAAAUCCCAUCGUGGCUCUACAAGUUGUAAGAAGUUGAGCACAUUAGUGUCAUAACAGAAAGGCGGAAGUAUACCAUCUCUUGAAGCUGCAGGUAGAAUUUCAGGGCAGCGGGUGCGGUCAGGGAUGAGGUCACAAUGCUUCCUUCUGUUUGGAGGGCAGAGCAUUGGACGUGAUGAGCAGGGCCAGAAAGGAAGUUCAAUGUUCCUCACAUUGAGACAACUUGGGGGACCAGAGAGGUUUGUCCCACAUCAGGGGGAUCCCUCAAAGAGAGGUCUGCCUGGAAGGACUUGAACAUUAGUGAGGAACCCUGGGGAUGCUGGUGGGAGCCCAGAGCUCGGAAGAACUUCAUUCUCAGCAAAGAUUGUGCAGUGGGCAUCACCGGACAGCAUCUCACUCCUGCAGUGAUUAGUAUAAAUCAGGAAACCUACAUCGGCUUCAAAGAGUUCUUCCCACUUGGCCUGCCAUUUCCUGCUGACUGGAGUCCUGUCCUGAAUACAUGCCCGGGUCCCCGACCUCCUCCUUAACUCUUGUUAAAAAUAAAAAAUGGUGAGGGGCCCCUGGGUGGCUCAGUUC